rnacentral:rRNA from 1 species
CCUACGGGAGGCAGCAGUGGGGAACAUUGGACAAUGGGCGAAAGCCUGAUCCAGCCAUGCCGCGUGAGUGAUGAAGGCCCUAGGGUUGUAAAGCUCUUUCAACGGUGAAGAUAAUGACGGUAACCGUAGAAGAAGCCCCGGCUAACUUCGUGCCAGCAGCCGCGGUAAU